CCUACGGGUGACAGCAGUGGGGAAUAUUGGGCAAUGGGCGCAAGCCUGACCCAGCAACGCCGCGUGAAGGAAGAAGGCCCUCGGGUUGUAAACUUCUUUUGUCAGGGACGAAACAAAUGACGGUACCUGACGAAUAAGCCACGGCUAACUACGUGCCAGCAGCCGCGGUAAUACGUAGGUGGCAAGCGUUAUCCGGAUUUACUGGGUGUAAAGGGCGUGUAGGCGGGAGAGCAAGUCAGAUGUGAAAUUCCAGGGCUCAACCCUGGAACUGCAUUUGAAACUGUUUUUCUUGAGUGAUGGAGAGGCAGGCGGAAUUCCGUGUGUAGCGGUGAAAUGCGUAGAUAUCACGCAGAACCCCGGUUGCGAAGGCAGCCUUCCGGCGCCCUACUGACGCUGAGGCGCGAAAGUGCGGGGAUCGAACAGGAUUAGAUACCCCGGUAGUC
rnacentral:rRNA from 1 species